GUGAUCACUUAAUCACCACUGUACUAAACCUAGAACAACACAGAAAGAGUAGCAUGGCCCCUGUGCAAAGAUGGCAUGCAGAUGUACAAAAAAAGCCU
rnacentral:snRNA from 1 species